rnacentral:tRNA from 1 species
GGGGUAUAGCUCAGUUGGUAGAGCGCCUGCUUUGCAAGCAGGAUGUCAGCGGUUCGAGUCCGCUUA